GGGGUUGUGGCUCAGAGGUAGAGCGCUUGCCUGGCAUGCGUGAGACACUGGGUUCGAUCCUCAGCACCG
rnacentral:tRNA from 1 species